rnacentral:lncRNA from 8 species
AUGAGAGUUGUAGAAUGUGUGUUCCUCCUGGCUCUCAUCACAGGUGAGUUAACUGGAGUUAUUUCAUUCCAGUGUAGGAGAGAGGAGAGGAGCUGUGCUACUUGGCUGGAGGGUCACAGCCAUCUAAUGUCACGCUCUGACCUAGGAGAGCUGUGUUUUCUCUGUUUAGUUAGGUCAGGGUGUGAUAGGUGGGUGGGUGUUCUAUGUUUUUGUAUUUCUUUGUGUUGGGCCAAGCUCCAGACCUCAAGUGCGCCUCCACGGCCCAGUAUAUCCUGUGCGUUUCCCAGUCCGUUGAGACCGGUUCCAGCUCCACGUAGGAAGCCUCCAGUGAUGAUCUAUGGUCCGAAGCCUUCAGUGAUAAUCCAUGGCACGAAGCCUCCAGUGAUGAUCCAUGGCCUGGAGCCUGUAGGGAUGAUCCAUGGCAUGAAGCCUCCAGUGACAAUCCAUGGCCCAGAGCCUCCAGUGAUGAUCCAUGGCACAAAGCCUCCAGUGAUGAUCCAUGGCGCGGAACCUGUAGUGAGGAUCCAUGGCACGGAGCCUGCAGCGACGGUCCCCGGUCCGGAACCUCCAGCGACACUCUCCAGUCCGGAGCCUCCAGCGACGCUCCCCAGUCCGGAGCCUCCAGUGAAGGUCUGCGGUCCAGAGCCUCCAGCGACGGUUCCCGGUCCGGAGCCACCAGCGACGGUUCCCGGUCCAGAGCCACCAGCGACGGUCUGCGGUCCAGAGCCUCCAGUGACAGCCGGCGGUCCAGAGCCUCCAGUGAAGGUCUGCGGUCCAGAGCCUCCAGCGACGGUCGGCGGUCCGGGGACUCCGGCGACGGUUCCCGGUCCAGAGCCUUCUGUGGCGAUCUACGGUCCAGAGUCCCCGGCGACGAUAUACGGUCCGGAGUCUCCGGCGACGACCCACGGUCCAGAGCUUCCGGCAACGACCUACAGUCCGGAGUUUCUGGCGACGAUCCACAGUUCCUCCGGUGAUAAUUACGGUCCGAAGGGCACUUGGUCCCGAUAUUGUUACCAUGUUGUAGCUUUUCAUGCCCUCCCCAUUGAGUAG